UCCUAACCACUAAUGAAGUGUGUUCUUCCAGAAGAUAUCACAGCAAAAAAAGCAGCUCGUUGUGGUAAAUACCAUCCCUGGCAAAACACUGGAAAGCUUAAUGUAUCUGAAAGUGUGCAGCAAUUUAAAAUCAAGUUAGGAGUUAAUCAAAUAACAUCAGCUUUGUCUCAUUUCAGUGGUGGAACAAGCACUAAAUUGUGGAUUUUAAACAAACACGAGCAGGUUGUUGUGGCCUUGGCUGUCAGAGUGUGGGGGUUUGUUGGCCAUAAUUCCUCUUCCAAGCCGAAAAAAAGCACUCACGGAAGGAAGAGGCUGCACCCUGAACAUCUCCAGAGAGCCACGCGUGCCAAGGGCCAGCGCUGGGUGUGAAGCACCAUCCUCAGUGCCUGGAGAGGGCACAGGAACACUCUGACCAUUCAUAAAGGGUUCUUUGGAAACCUCUCCAACACAGCUGAAGUGCAAAAAUUACUUCAAGUGCUCACAAACUCCACCUGUGGGGCCAUAACUCAGCUGAGACCAAGAGCUCCCGGUUCCUCCACAGUGAGUGGGAGCAGUUCGGUCCCACCACUUCCAAUGACUUCAGAGUGAAAGGAAAGUUAUUUCAAAGUAAGUAAAACAUUUUCACCAGUGAAAAACUUCCUCCCAAGGUCUAAUUCAUGGCUUGAAUGAGCUCCCUAGAGCAGAGCUCACUGAGGUGUCUGCUGGUGAGGGGAGAGGGGAGCAGCUUUGGUGGCAAACCUGGUUUUGCUGUUGCCUUCUGUUUAACUUCAGUGUGUGCUGUUAUGUGAUGGAAGUAGAAAAGUGCAUCUGAAAGCAGCAAAUAUGAAAGGUACCAGUACAUUAAAAUGAUACCAGGUGAAUGCUGCAGGAGGAGGAGAUUCCUGAGCCAGGGACUGAGUCGCUUCUGACGAGGUUUAAACUGAGCAAGUGACGGGAGUUCAACAUCUGCAUUUUUGUUCUUCAGUGACAGAGGCACUUGUUUCAUUUUGGACCUGAAAUAACAAUUAAACAAGCUUUUCUACUUCUUGCAGGAGUCAGUUUUUCAGACCAUUUUAAUGAAUGUGUAUUUGUCUAAAAGUGAUGAGGCCUGGGAAGGAUCUGGUGCUAAAGCACCUUUAUUUCCCUAACUCGAGGUGUCGAGGCAGCAGAGAGAGCCUGUCUGCCCUGCUUAGGCUGAUCUAACCAGGAACCUGAAUUCAGCUGACACACAGAUGACACCCACACCCAGCCCUUCCCUUCCACAGUGUUCCCAUCUGUUCCUGAGGGGAGGAAAGGAAAAUCAGGUUGGUUUUGUUGCUGUUUUGCUCAGGAGGGAGCAGGCUCUGCUUCCUCCAGGUGCAACAUUCAUCUACCAAAGCAGAUUUAUUUUCCUUUUUAACAUUCAGAAUUUAGUGUGGGGUUUGAGGGAUUUUGUCCCUGUGGUGCUGCAGGGCUUUCAGCAUCCCCUGCUGGAAAUUCUUCAUGGAUACCCAGGUCCAGGCACCUGUGGAUGGUGGCUUGGCCGUGUCACCUCCACCUGCUCAGGACUGAGGGGCAUGAGUUGGUCAUGGGUUUAACAAAACCACAAAAUAGCCCAAAAUCAAGGGAUUUCCAGGGGCCUGGGAGGUCCUGCAGCCCCAGCUCCCCCUGUCCCCAGCACAACCUCAACGUGAGGAUGGGGAGAGCAAAUCUGAGGAGAGACUUGGGAACAUCCCACUGAAAUUCCUCUCUGCUGAUGCCCAAAUUUGCAGCACAGGGAAAAUCACGGCAUUUAUACAGCACUGAAGAAAAUAAACCAAACUUUAUAUUCCUAAACUGUUAGAGC
ensembl:lncRNA